UGUCCCCUGGCCCAGCUGGUUAAGGCGCACGACUGUUAUGAAGAUUCGCUGAUAUCGUGAGAUCGAGAGUUCGACCCUCUCGGGGACAG